GAUGAACGCUGGCGGCGUGCCUAAUACAUGCAAGUCGAGCGAAGCGGGGAAGGAUGAGUAAAACGUGGCUAACCUCCUAUAAGACUGGGAUAACUUCGGGCAACCGGCGCUAACACGGCUACUUAUAGAUGGAUCCGCGCUGCAUUAGCUAGUUGGUAAGGUAACGGCUUACCAAGUCAACGAUGCAUAGCCGAACGGAGAGGGGGAUCGGCCACACUGGAACUGAGACACGGUCCAGAAGCCUACGGGAGGCAGCAGUAGGGAAUCUUACGCAAUGGGCGAAAGCCUGACGGAGCAACGCCGCGUGAGUGAUGAAGGUCUUCGGAUCGUAAAACUCUGUUAUUAGGGAAGCGGUACCUAAUCAGAAAGCCACGGCUAACUACGUGCCAGCAGCCGCGGUAAUAC
rnacentral:rRNA from 1 species